AACGAACGCUGGCGGCAGGCCUAACACAUGCAAGUCGAACGCCCUCUUCGGAGGGAGUGGCAGACGGGUGAGUAACGCGUGGGAACCUUCCCUAUGGUACGGAAUAACUCAGAGAAAUUUGAGCUAAUACCGUAUAAGCCCUUCGGGGAAAGAUUUAUCGCCAUAGGAUGGGCCCGCGUCGGAUUAGCUUGUUGGUGAGGUAAUGGCUCACCAAGGCAACGAUCCGUAGCUGGUCUUAGAGGAUGAUCAGCCACACUGGGACUGAGACACGGCCCAGACUCCUACGGGAGGCAGCAGUGGGGAAUAUUGGACAAUGGGCGCAAGCCUGAUCCAGCCAUGCCGCGUGAGUGACGAAGGCCUUAGGGUUGUAAAGCUCUUUUGGCGGGGACGAUAAUGACGGUACCCGCAGAAUAAGCCCCGGCUAACUUCGUG
rnacentral:rRNA from 1 species